UGGAAGGGCAUUUAGUGGAUGCCUUGGCGAUAAGAGGCGAUGAAGGACGUGGUACGCUGCGUUAAGCCAUGGGGAGCUGCGAACAAGCUUUGAUCCAUGGAUAUCCGAAUGGGGAAACCCGGCCCGCAAGGGUCAUCAUUAUCUGAAUACAUAGGGUAAUGAGGCGAACCUGGGGAACUGAAACAUCUAAGUACCCAGAGGAAAGGACAUCAAUUGAGACUUCCUUAGUAGUGGCGAGCGAACGGGAACCAGGCCAGUGGCUUUAGUGAGACAACCGGAACCGUUUGGAAAGACGGGCCAUAGUGGGUGACAGCCCCGUACGGGUAAUUCGAACUUUAGUCCUCGAGUAGGGCGGGACACGUGAAAUCCUGUCUGAACAUGGGGGGACCAUCCUCCAAGCCUAAGUACUCCUUAUCGACCGAUAGUGAACAAGUACCGUGAGGGAAAGGUGAAAAGCACCCCGACGAGGGGAGUGAAACAGUUCCUGAAACUGGAUGCCUACAAACAGUUGGAGCCCAAGGUUCGUCCUGGGUGACAGCGUACCUUUUGUAUAAUGGGUCAGCGAGUUAAUUUUGCGAGCAAGCUUAAGCCGUUAGGUGUAGGCGUAGCGAAAGCGAGUCUUAAUAGGGCGACUAAGUUUGUUGGAUUAGACCCGAAACCGAGUGAUCUAGGUAUGAGCAGGUUGAAGGUGCAGUAACAUGCACUGGAGGACCGAACCCACGCCUGUUGAAAAAGGCGGGGAUGACUUGUGCCUAGGGGUGAAAGGCCAAUCAAACUCGGAAAUAGCUGGUUCUCCGCGAAAUCUAUUUAGGUAGAGCGUCGGAUGAAUACUCUCGGGGGUAGAGCACUGGAUGGGCUAUGGGGGCUUACCGCCUUACUGAUCCUAACCAAACUCCGAAUACCGAGAAGUACUAUCCGGCAGACACACAGUGGGUGCUAACGUCCAUUGUGGAGAGGGAAACAACCCUGACCGCCAGUUAAGGUCCCUAAGUUAUGGCUAAGUGGGAAAGGAUGUAGAGAUCCCAAAACAACCAGGAUGUUGGCUUAGAAGCAGCCAUCAUUUAAAG
rnacentral:rRNA from 1 species